AAGGAACUAAGGGCGCACAGUGGAUGCCUUGGCACUAAGAGCCGAUGAAGG
rnacentral:rRNA from 1 species